rnacentral:rRNA from 1 species
GAUGAACGCUGGCGGCGUGCCUAAUACAUGCAAGUCGAGCGAACGGACGAGAAGCUUGCUUCUCUGAUGUUAGCGGCGGACGGGUGAGUAACACGUGGAUAACCUACCUAUAAGACUGGGAUAACUUCGGGAAACCGGAGCUAAUACCGGAUAAUCUUUUGAACCGCAUGGUUCAAAAGUGAAAGACGGUCUUGCUGUCACUUAUAGAUGGAUCCGCGCUGCAUUAGCUAGUUGGGAAGGUAACGGCUUACCAAGGCAACGAUGCAUAGCCGACCUGAGAGGGGGAUAGGCCACACUGGAACUGAGACACGGUCCAGACGCCUACGGGAGGCAGCAGUAGGGAAUCUUACGCAAUGGGCGAAAGCCUGACGGAGCAACGCCGCGUGAGUGAUGAAGGUCUUCGGAGCGUAAAAAUCGGUUAUGAGGGAAGAACAUAUGUGUAAGUAACUGUGCACAUCUUGACGGUAACUAAUCAGAAAGCCACGGCUAACUACGUG